AUUGAACGCUGGCGGCAUGCCUUACACAUGCAAGUCGAACAGCAGCACGGGUGCUUGCACCAGGUGGCGAGUGGCGAACGGGUGAGUAAUAUAUCGGAACGUACCUUAUUGUGGGGGAUAACGCAGCGAAAGCUGUGCUAAUACCGCAUAAUCCCUAAGGGGGAAAGCGGGGGACCGUAAGGCCUCGCGCAAUUAGAGCGGCCGAUACCUGAUUAGCUAGUUGGUGAGGUAAAGGCUCACCAAGGCAACGAUCAGUAGCUGGUCUGAGAGGACGAUCAGCCACACUGGGACUGAGACACGGCCCAGACUCCUACGGGAGGUAGCAGUGGGGAAUUUUGGACAAUGGGGGCAACCCUGAGCCAGCAAUGCCGCGUGAGUGAAGAAGGCCUUCGGGUUGUAAAGCUCUUUUGUCAGGGAAGAAACAGCAGCUCUAACACAGUAUGCGAAUGACGGUACCUGAAGAAUAAGCACCGGCUAACUACGUGCCAGCCGCCGCUGUAA
rnacentral:rRNA from 1 species